CUUAAUUCGAUUUAUCUUCUGUUUCACAUCGGCAAAACCACUAUAAAAACGGCUAAGAGUGCAACAAUGAACCGUUUUUAAAAAAUAAAGAGGGCUUAAAAACUGAUCUAAUGGAUGAAGAGGAAUAUCGGCCCAAGCCCAAACAAUAAGCUCACAGUCAUAGACGUGGUGGCCUUGAUAGGGCCCAAGUAAUAAUAUAACCACGAUUCACGGUCUCCCGGUUGGAUUCCCCGGCAAGCGGCCGCGCCCGGAGCCGGAACCCAACCGACGAGUUCUUCCACCCACGCGACGGCGACACUGCCACCGCGCUCGGAGGCGCUGAAGCCAGCCGAGAGGCGGGGCCCGGCCCCCCGGCGACUAGUAGGCAGCCACAGCCAACCACUCGAAGUGUUCGGUUCCACUUCCACGUUCAGGUAGAGCUCGUCGCCGCAACAUCGACCUUCUCCGUCCAGUCUGAAAACAGGGACCCUUGAAUGAAGAAUUCAAAUGAAGAGAAGAAACCUAAGGAAAGGAGAGCAGAACAAGAUUGGUACCUUUGCUGUGCCUGGCCCCACUGUUAGCUCUCUGAAGAGUUAAAGCUGCGACGGAGGCUACAACGACAAAGCCUAAUCUCACAAGCAUGACUCCGUUCACUCAUCACUCUGCUGGCCUCAACCGGCAGGAGGGCCGAGACGGGGAGCCCCCUCUACUCAUCAAAAAAUGGUGACCCGGAGUUAGAGCAGCAGGUACGAGUGGCCUAUCAGGCUAAAACUCUCUUCAUAUCUUUUAGCCCAGAGAUGGAGAUGGAUUGGAGGAGCUGCUUGCGUGCGAGUGCUGAUGAACACACACCACCGGAACAUGUGGCUGGUUUUAUUCAUCCUAUUUCGGCGCUGCGAUUGCUUCUUAUGUGUUUAUCCGGUUGCAAAAACGAACUCAUGCAAGUCACUUUCAUGUCUGUGUCCAGUAUACUGUCGUACUAUCUGGUAGCAGACAAAAUUUCUAAAUGCUGAUGGUACAGGGAGGAAAGAACGCCUCUUCGUGGCUGCUGCUUUGGCCCGGCCGUGAAGUACAGAGCGAAAGACUUGUGGCUUGGAAGCCGGUAGGCCCAUUUGCUAUGCACGGGAUGACGAGAAUGGGUGGUGCUGGCCUGCUGGGUAUCACAAGAAAAAUGACGAGGGGAGUUAUCAGGCUCACAGGAUGGAGCAUGUCGUUACCCUGACAUGGAUCAGUCUAGAUUUGUUUCAUCCAAAGCAAUACUGGAUUUUUUUUUCUUGUUUCACUGUAUACGCUGGAAAACUAGGACAGAUUUUGACUGGGCGUAAUUGGAAUAACUGACCUAGUUAACUGCUACUGCCUCUUUCCUGAAUUAUAAGGUGUUCUAGAGGCGCAUAGAAAGAGCUAAAAGCCUAAACAUCUUAUAAUUUAGAACUCAUGGCACUAUUUACCUCCGGUUUAAAUUCAAAUACUGUUUUAUUA